rnacentral:rRNA from 1 species
CCUACGGGAGGCAGCAGUGGGGAAUAUUGGACAAUGGGGGCAACCCUGAUCCAGCGACGCCGCGUGAGUGAAGAAGUAUUUCGGUAUGUAAAGCUCUAUCAGCAGGGAAGAAAGAAAUGACGGUACCUGACUAAGAAGCCCCGGCUAACUACGUGCCAGCAGCCGCGGUAAUACGUAGGUGGCAAGCGUUAUCCGGAUUUACUGGGUGUAAAGGGAGCGUAGGCGGCGAUGCAAGUCUGAAGUGAAAGUCAGGGGCUCAACCCCUGAACUGCUUUUGAAACUGUAUGGCUUGAGUGCAGGAGAGGUAAGUGGAAUUCCUGGUGUAGCGGUGAAAUGCGUAGAUAUUAGGAGGAACACCAGUGGCGAAGGCGGCUUACUGGACUGUAACUGACGUUGAGGCUCGAAAGCGUGGGGAGCAAACAGGAUUAGAUACCCGAGUAGUC